rnacentral:rRNA from 1 species
UUGACCUCNAAUCGGGUGAGACUACCCGCUGAACUUAAGCACAUCAAUAAGCGGAGGAAAAGAAACUAACAAGGAUUCCCCUAGUAACUGCGAGU